UGGGGAAUAUUGCACAAUGGGGGAAACCCUGAUGCAGCCAUGCCGCGUGAAUGAAGAAGGCCUUCGGGUUGUAAAGUUCUUUCGGUGAUGAGGAAGGUGUGAUGGUUAAUACCCAUCGCAAUUGACGUUAGUCACAGAAGAAGCACCGGCUAACUCCGUGCCAGCAGCCGCGGUAAUACGGAGGGUGCGAGCGUUAAUCGGAAUAACUGGGCGUAAAGGGCACGCAGGCGGUUGUUUAAGUGAGGUGUGAAAGCCCCGGGCUCAACCUGGGAAUUGCAUUUCAGACUGGACAACUAGAGUACUUUAGGGAGGGGUAGAAUUCCACGUGUAGCGGUGAAAUGCGUAGAGAUGUGGAGGAAUACCGAAGGCGAAGGCAGCCCCUUGGGAAUGUACUGACGCUCAUGUGCGAAAGCGUGGGGAGCAAACAGG
rnacentral:rRNA from 1 species